rnacentral:rRNA from 1 species
UACGUAGGGGGCAAGCGUUGUCCGGAAUUAUUGGGCGUAAAGAGCUCGUAGGCGGUUUGUCGCGUCUGCUGUGAAAUCCCGAGGCUCAACCUCGGGUCUGCAGUGGGUACGGGCAGACUGGAGUGCGGUAGGGGAGAAUGGAAUUCCUGGUGUAGCGGUGGAAUGCGCAGAUAUCAGGAGGAACACCGAUGGCGAAGGCAGGUCUCUGGGCCGUAACUGACGCUGAGGAGCGAAAGCGUGGGGAGCGAACAGG